rnacentral:rRNA from 1 species
UACGUAGGGGGCAAGCGUUGUCCGGAAUCAUUGGGCGUAAGGAGCGUGUAGGCGGCCAGAUAAGUCCGCUGUGAAAUCUCGAGGCUCAACUUCGAGCUGUCGGUGGAAACUGUCUGGCUAGAGUCCGGAAGAGGAGAAUGGAAUUCCUGGUGUAGCGGUGAAAUGCGCAGAUAUCAGGAAGAACACCCGUGGCGAAGGCGGUUCUCUGGGACGGUACUGACGCUGAGACGCGAAAGCGUGGGGAGCGAACAGG